UGGGGAAUAUUGGACAAUGGGCGAAAGCCUGAUCCAGCAAUGCCGCGUGAGUGAUGAAGGCCUUAGGGUUGUAAAGCUCUUUUACCCGGGAUGCAGUACCGGGAGAAUAAGCUCCGGCUAACUCCGUGCCAGCAGCCGCGGUAAUACGGAGGGGGCUAGCGUUGUUCGGAAUGACUGGGCGUAAAGGGCGCGUAGGCGGCUUAUCAAGUCAGGUGUGAAAGCCUUGGGCUUAACCCAAGAACUGCGCUUGAUACUGAUAAGCUUGAGGAUGAUAGAGGAAAGCGGAAUUCCUAGUGUAGAGGUGAAAUUCGUAGAUAUUAGGAAGAACACCAGAGGCGAAGGCGGCUUUCUGGAUCAUAUCUGACGCUGAGGCGCGAAAGCGGGGGAGCAAACAGGAUUAGAUACCCCGGUAGU
rnacentral:rRNA from 1 species